GAGGGUAUAGCUCAAGUGGCAGAGUGCAUGCUUAACACGCACAAGGUCCUGGAUUCAAUCCCCAGUACCUCCU
rfam:Camelus ferus unplaced genomic scaffold scaffold293, whole genome shotgun sequence.